rnacentral:rRNA from 1 species
GACGUCUAAUACCGGAUACGAACCGUGGAGGCAUCUCCUGCGGUUGGAAAGAAUUUUGGUCAAGGAUGGACUCGCGGCCUAUCAGCUAGUUGGUGAGGUAACGGCCCACCAAGGCGACGACGGGUAGCCGGCCUGAGAGGGUGACCGGCCACACUGGGACUGAGACACGGCCCAGACUCCUACGGGAGGCAGCAGUGGGGAAUAUUGCACAAUGGGCGAAAGCCUGAUGCAGCAACGCCGCGUGAGGGACGACGGCCUUCGGGUUGUAAACCUCUUUUAGCAGGGAAGAAGCGAAAGUGACGGUACCUGCAGAAAAAGCACCGGCUAACUACGUGCCAGCAGCCGCGGUAAUACGUAGGGUGCAAGCGUUGUCCGGAAUUAUUGGGCGUAAAGAGCUCGUAGGCGGUUUGUCGCGUCUGCUGUGAAAACGCGAGGCUCAACCUCGCGCCUGCAGUGGGUACGGGCAGACUAGAGUGCGGUAGGGGAGAUUGGAAUUCCUGGUGUAGCGGUGGAAUGCGCAGAUAUCAGGAGGAACACCGAUGGC